UACGUAGGGGGCUAGCGUUGAUCGGAAUCACUGGGCGUAAAGCGUACGUAGGCGGUUUGUUAAGUCAGGGGUGAAAUCCUGGAGCUCAACUCCAGAACUGCCUUUGAUACUGGCAAUCUCGAGUUCGGGAGAGGUGAGUGGAACUGCGAGUGUAGAGGUGAAAUUCGUAGAUAUUCGCAAGAACACCAGUGGCGAAGGCGGCUCACUGGCCCGAUACUGACGCUGAGGUACGAAAGCGUGGGGAUCAAACAGG
rnacentral:rRNA from 1 species